UUUGCAUCUUGUAUGUGGUUGGGAAUACAUUCUCAAAUCUAUUUGUGGGCCCAAUAAGCCAUGUGACCAUGGCAAGUUUCCUCAUGGCUCUGUAUGUCAAUGUACUCAUCUGUGAGCUAGAGGCAGGGGUACCAGAUGGUCUUUCAACUCCCUUUGACUCUACACAUACAUUUCCAUCUACAAACUAAGUCUGAAUUCCUUUAGAAAAGGUGUCAAGAGAUUUGUGCCUGGCCAAGACCUUGGAGGAUGAUGGUGUUGCACUUCGUCUAGUUAUUCAGGCUCAACUCAGAGAAGGAGAAGCUGCAAGAAAGCUCUGCUUUCCCCUGCAUCUUGGGGCAGCCCUGUUUGCCUCACAGACAGAGAAGAACCGAGCCCUAUAUGAUAUUUUCACCUAAUACGAAGCUGAACUUUGGUAACAGUAUUAAGCUUUACAAUGUUCCUUAUGGUCUCCACAUUUUGUUUCACUCUUUUGAAAUCUGUGAUCUCCACUAGAGAUCUCUAAAUAUAAUAUUCAGAAUUUGGAAUAUCAGCAAUUGGAGGUCACACUAGCAUUGUGAUUGAAUUGGGGCUGGGUGGCAGAGAGAGAGUUCAGUUGUACUUGGGCAGGCUCUUUGCUUGUCUAUAGGGCUUUAAAGUUUCCCAGGACUAAACCAUUUGAUUAGCAUAUGAUUUUUCCGUAAACAUUGUCCACAGAUUAUGAUCAAAAGUAGUGUGCACUUAAACAAAGACCUGUUAGAAUGAACACAUUUUCUUUCUUUCCUUUGCUGAGUCUUUCCUUAGGCUCACAAUCCUAAGUCUUGGGGGAUGUUUGACGAUGUCAAC
rnacentral:lncRNA from 1 species